UAGAUGCUCUUAUCUCUCUCUCUCUCUCUCUACGCCUUCUAUCUCUCUCUUUCUCUCUCAAAAAGACGAUUCCCCCAAAUCGUUUAAGGUCAUAUCGUUUAACGAUUCUCCCAAAUCCUUUAGCUUUUGUAAGGAGAUCAGAUUUCAACUUGUUAUGUGGUAGCUGAAGCUAUUGGGAUCGACGUCGACAGUGAACAAUUUGAUAGAUGAAGGCUUACAAGAAUGCAAAAAAUGCAAGACAUCUAGGUGAAAGGACAAUAAGAAGAAGCAGCCCGCAAAGAUUUUGCGCUACUUUCCACUAAAGCCAAGGUUACAAAGAUUAUUCAUGUGCUCUAAAACUGCUGAGUCUGUGAGAUGGCAUUCUUCAGCGGGUAACCAAGAUGGAUUGAUGAGGCAUCCAAGGGAUUCUCAGGCUUGGAAAGCAUUUAACUUGCUUCAUCCUGAAUUUGCUGCAGAUCCUCGAAAUGUACGACUUGGCCUAGCUAGUGACAGUUUCAAUCCUUUUGGAGCAAUGGCAACAAACUAUAGUAUUUAGCAUGUGGUUCUUAUUCCAUACAAUCGUCCUCCUUGGGAGUGUAUGAAACAAACUUCAUUCAUUAUUUCAAUGAUCAUUCCAGGAAAAUAAAUGCAUGGCAAUGACAUAGACGUGUACUUAUAACCUCUUAUCCAAGAGUUGAGAGAAUUGUGGUACGAUGGAGUGCAGACAUUAGACUCUUCAAAGAAUGAAAUAUUUAAAAUGCGAGCAGCCUUGAUGUGGACAAUUAGUGAUUUUCCUCGGCUUGGUACCUUAUCUGGAUGGAAUACAUACACUCAAUUUUCUUGUCUUACGUGUAACUUUGAUACAGACUCUUGCAGGUUGAAACAUAGUAGAAAAUGGUGUUUAAUGGGUCAUCAUUGUUUUCUUGAAAGCGGCCAUCAGUUUAGAUUGUAGCGUGUCCGUUUUAAUAGAAAAAUCGAGCAACGGGAGUCACCAAUAGAAUUAUCAGGGUCAGACAUCUUGAAAAAAAUGGAGGGAAUCAAUGAUAAUUUUGGGAAAGUACCAGAGUCAGAUGCUAAAGGUAAAAGAACUCGAGGAAAAACUAUUAUUGAAGAUAGACUGAAAUAGUGAAGAAAGAGAAGCAUAUUUUUUAUCUUCCUUAUUGAGAAUCUAACUUGUUGUGUCAUAAUCUAGACCUUAUACACAUUUAGAAGAAUGUGUGUGAGAAUGUGAUAUAUACUUUGCUCAAUGAUACUAAAAAGUCAAAAGACAAUCUUAAAGCUCGGAAUGAUCUUAGAGAAAUGGGUAUAAGGAAAGAACUUUGGGCAGACGAGAAUGGAAGCUAUCAUCCAACCUUGUUCACUCUUUUAAAUUCAAAGAACAGUGGAUUUAAGAAAGACAUAGUUUUGCGUACUUUAAAUAAUGUCAAAAUGCCUGAUGGAUACGCUAGCAACAUUUCAAGAUGUGUCGACUUGAAACAACAAAAGCUCAAGUCAACGAAGAGUCAUGAUUUUCACAUUCUCAUGCAGCACUUGUUACCAAUUGCCAUAUGUAAUAUUUUUCCUGACAAGGUGACUGUAGUAUUAAUAAGUUGAGUUCGUUCUUCCAUCAACUCUGUGCCAAAAGCUUAAGCCCCUUAGACCUUGGCAGGCUCCAGUCUCGAUAUUUUCUCACCAUGAAUCACCUGGAAAUGUUAUUCCCUCCUACAUUCUUUACAAUCAUGGUUCAUUUAACUUAUCAUCAAGCUGGUGAAGCAAAACUUGGGGGACCUCAACAGUGUCAGUGGAUGUAUUCUAUCGAGAGGUAUUUGGGACACUUCAAAUCCUAUGUGCGAAACAUAUCACAACCAGAAGGUUCUAUAGCUGAAGGAUAUCUAGAUGAAGAGGCUCUUACUUUUUCUUCCCAUUUUAUUGAAGGGAUUGAGACAAGAUGUAAUAGGCCACAUCGUCUUGACGAUUUUCCGGAGGAUAGAGGCUCGGUGAAUUCAUCUAGUAUUUUCCCACCAGUUGCUAAAGGACUAGGAGCUGUAACAUUUGAGUUGUCACCUAUGGCAAAAUGUCAAGCACAUCGAUAUGUAUUACUAAAUUGUCCACAAGUCAUGCCAUUCAUUAAGUUAUGUACGGAGGCGGUGGAAGGGCCGAAAGCCUUCAAAUACGGAGAUAGAGAAGCUAGUUAAUAAAGACUUCAUUGAUUGGUUUCCUUGACAGAUGAACAUCAAGUGAUCAAAUCUAUUAGGUUUAAGGUUUAGGACGUCCAUAAAUUGGAGAAUGGAUUGUGUAUAAUUGUAGAAUGUGAUGAGUUUGCUCAACCUAUUGAAAAAUCAGCCGGCCUUCUUGCAGGAUUUUUGGGGAAGCUUGCUACAAAUCCUCGAUACUUUCCUAUUGGCUUCGAGAGUUUGGGCAUCCAUUCCUAAACCUUUUAUGGACCAUGCUUUUAAUGAUUUCGUAAUGUCUCGAUUUUUCUUUACGAGUGAUCAGCAAAAGGUAAAAGGUUGGAUUAACAAUUCUCUUUAAAAAAGUGGAAGGAUUUCAGGCUUAAACUAUGGCAUGAGGCUGAGGAUCCAUUAUUGAGUAAAGAAAAUAUCAUCAAGAAUACUCCAGAAGGAAUUUCCAUGGACCAAUGGGCAUUGUAUGUUAACUAUCGUUCAAAAGAGAAAACAAAGGCGCUUUGCUGGAGAAAACAACGGAUUCGACAACAACAAAUACUUCCCCAUACUAGUGGUGCUAUGAGUUUGGCUAGAAGAAGGGCUUUGAUGAAGAAACACGGAAAAGAAGUUGAUCGAGGCAAAGUGUGGACUGAGACUCAUGAGAGGAAAGAUGGGAGUUAUGUGAAUGAUCAAGCUAGGGAGAUUGGGGAAAGAAUUAAAAAAAUUCGAAGACAAAGACCAGAAACUCUGGCAAAAAUUUCACCGAAUGACGCGCUUGGUGUAGUCUUCAGUCCCGAGCACCCUGGUCGUGUUCGAGGCUUAGGCAUGGGUGCAGUUUCAACUGUAGUAUUCAAGCAAACAUCAAUACGAGGCACCCAAUCUAGGAGAUGGCGUUGGAGAUGACGUUCUGUCACCAACCGGGCCAUCCUUUGACGAAAGUAACUAUGAAAAUGAAGCAAAUGACAAUUAGUAAUCAUUGUUAGGAUGAACUAUAUUUUUUUUGUGUUGUAACUGUUGAAUAACUCUUUGCAACUUAAACUUAUAUCUUGGAUGAUGUGGAUUUUGGGCACUUA